AUGAUUAUAACUUUUUUAAAUACAUUUGUUUUGUUUUUUAGGGUGGCCAGCAUGAUACAGCAGUUUGUUGCUGGGAUGGAUGCAUUUGGACAGCUGUGGCAAACAGUACAGAGGAACUGUAUUAACUUUAUGCCAAUGUUCACAUACACACAUGAAAAACUCUCCCGAAGUGAUAUUCGGGACAUGUUCAACAUCAGAUGGAGUCCACAAGGCUGCAAUAAUAGAGAGAGGGAGGAGGACACCAUCUUUCUCUGGGAGUGUUGGCUGAUGUCUAUUGAAAAUAAAGACCUAGACAUUACCUUUGAAGAAAUUCUGAUCUUCGCAACGGGAGCUGAUUCUGUACCCCCUCUCGGUUUUCCACGAGAGUGUGAGAUCCAGUUCUAUGAUCAAGAGCCAGGAAGCCAGCGGAUUCCUUACUCCUCAACCUGUGCCCUUGUUCUGUAUUUGCCCAGAGGUAUUACAGAAGAAACUGAUUUUAAAGAGCUCAUGCUGCUGGCCUUAAAAUGCUCAUUUGGUUUUGGGAAGGCUUAAAUGUUGUAUGUGACAUUGCUGAUAUGAAUUUGAAUGUAAUUUUUUAUUUUUUUUUUUGGUUCAAAUAAGUCUCUUCUGCUUUAUUUGAUUAGAAAAAACAGUAAAACAUUUUGUGUAAUGUUAUUACAAAUUCAACAACUGUUUAUAUGUAAACAUGUCAUUGAUUUCUUUGAUUAAAGCUGAAUUUUCAACAUCAUUACUCCAGUCUUCCGUGUGACAUGAUCUUCAGAAGUCAUUCUAAUACGCUUAUUUGCUGCUGAAGAAACAUUAUAGUACAAGAGUAGUAGUAAGAACUCUAAUUUUCUUCACUAUGUUGCAAAGCAUAGACAUUUUUGUCUCCUCUAUUUCAGGAAAAUAUGUGAAGAAUGGGCUAUGUGAAGAAAUCGAGAACCUUUUAUGUCUACCGGCCAGUGAUGAUUCUGAAAGAACAUACCUGGAAUCUGUUGCUACAGUAACGAACGCAAAUUCAUGCUCAUGCGUGAUUUUAUUUCAGUGCAGUUGUUAAGAUUGUGGUUAUUUCAGCAAACAGUUUUACAUAUUUUAACAGUGUUUAGAUAAACUUUUCUAUAUCAUUCAAUGGUACUAUUUAGAGAUCAAUGAUACACACACAUUUUAGACACUUAUUAGGCUAACUUGAUAUGACAGGUUGGAAAACAUCACGUUGACUCUAAAACCUGAUGCGAAAAUGUCAGUCAUUGCAGUCAAAUAUUGAGAUGAACUUUAUAAAGUAUCAUCUAUUUAUAUUAAAUUAAUAUGUUAAAUUGGUAUCUUCUCCUAUACCCAUUUUGUGAUCAUUUUGUUUUCAAUCAGCUGAAAUGAUUCGGGACAUCCACAUUUAACUUGAAAAAGGCAUAACGUGGCUUAAUGCUUUAAAACUGCAUUUUAAAAAGACCAAAACAUUAGGCAUAUAUAAAUAAAGCAUUCUAUUCACAGACAAGCAAAUGAUUCCAGAAUAAGAAUGCAAUGCGCUUAAUUAGUUACGUGUUAAUCAUGUCAGACCUGAAUUCUUUUCCCUGAUCAAAAAAAAGUUAUCCACUUGAUAUUUGCUAUUCUCCAAUACAAAAAAAAAAGUAAAAGAUUUGUGCCAAUUAUUUUUUCUAUCAUAUUUCUUUCAUGUCCACUAUAAUGGUCAUCAAAACUGAAGAAAAAUAAAAAUCCACAUAUUUUAAUCAUAUAUAACGAGUAGAGCUUGUGUAGUUGAACUAGAUUCUGAACAGUACACUUUCUAUUAGAAUGUGCAAAACAGUAACAGGGUGGACAGUAAAGGAAGGGACAUUUUAUGCUAAAAUCAGUUUUUGCUAUUUAUGUGAAGAACAACAUGCUAGUGCAUAAUGAUCACCGAAGAAGAUUUUUAACCUGUUUAUUAACAAUUUUCAAAAAAUAAUAAGUUUCCAUUGAAAAAAAGCAUAACAGAGUGGACAUGUUAUGCUUUACCACAUCAGUGGAUCAUUAUAAAACACUGAAAAAAGGGUCAAUUAAAGAUUUUUAAUUACUCUGCUUCUUGUAGAUAGUUGAAAAAAGUGUUAAGAAUCAUGUUAUUAGAGAAACAUUCAAGGGCCAUGUUCAGAUACUAUUUUUUGGAACAAAGGGUUAAAAAACAAGCUUCUCUGCCUUUCAGGUACACACGUGUCAAAACUCUGUCCAACAUUAACAUAGCAUAGUUGUCCUGCCAAAUUUCUCUUUAAAAAUAUAAUCAGACUUUGAUUUACAGCCACUUGAAAUGUUCAAUGCUAUUUUUUUUUUGUUUGUUUGUUUGUUUUUUUUUGUUUUUUGUUUUUUUUACAAAUUUUAUUAUAAUUGUAUUACUUAUAUUUAUCGCUGAGUUAUGCAAGCUUACCUGGGGACAUGACAUUUUAGUCUACUUGCACUAAAAUAAGAGUAAUUAUUUUUUAAUUAAUUAACUUUUAAAUACACAUUUAUUGUGUUUGAUUGUAGGGGCAGUUACUUUGUAAGAUUAUCACUAGAAACAAGUAUUAGCCCAUUUUUACACAAAAUAUACCCCAUCAUGUCAUGAGGACUCAAAUGGCACCAAUACUAGGAAUGAACCCCAAAUGUCUAUAGACAGCUUCAAUGGUAUACUUAUAUCAAACAAUUGAAAACUAAUUUGUGUUUAAGCUCCUUAACUGCAUUGUAAUCUUUAACUGAUUAUCUGUCUAUUCACCACAAGCACCCGGAAGAUCCUGUCAUCAACGAACAUAUAAGUAAAUGUGACUCCUAUGCUCAACUGGGUUGCCAUUAGCUUUGAAGUUCCCUUGGAACUUGCAGAAAUCGCUGUGAUUAGACUAUCUUUUAAUACAAUUUAAGAAAGCUUAAUGUUAUAAAGUACAUUUUGUUGUUAUUAUUACGUCAGUAAUACCUUCAGUUAACAAUGCAGUGUUGCUAUGUCGUGGACCGGUGCUCACACCGAACGGCACUGUGAACGGUUGCACUGUUUCCAAUGAAUACAGUAGGCUAUACAAUGUGCGCGAGACGCCAGCGCAGUCAAAAAGUAGAAACAGAAAGUACACUGCACUCCGUCAUUUUGGUCAUACAAGGCAUAAUGUGAAAGAGCAAAAUCUUGGUAGUUUGAAAAUUUAAUAGUUAUUUAAUAAUUAUUUCUAAAGGCGGUACUGUUCUUAUUUCGCUCUGCAUAACCUGAAUGAAAAAAUAAAAUAACAUUUGCAAAGAACUAAUCGAAAUGAAGACAUUUAGCUUUUUUAGCUAGACAACACCAGAGGUGAGGGGCCACAGAGUAUGAGGUGACCGAGGUGGUCGGGCCGGGCCCCCUCUGGCCCCCCGCUUCAUGACUGUAUCAAUUACAAUGUAAGGCCAGCAGGCGGAGACAAUUGACUUAAAAAAAUUAGAUUUAUUCAAAUAAAAGUUGAUUCAUUCAGGAAUAAAACAAGUGAAGUUUUAUUCCUGAAUUAAUCAACUU
ensembl:lncRNA